rnacentral:pre_miRNA from 1 species
UUUGAGGGGAAUGUUGUCUGGUUCAAGGCCGCCGUGUUGUUUCUUUGAUUUCAAUUAUUCUCUCUUUUUGAAAUCUUAUAUAUGAUUUAGAGUUUCCUCGGACCAGGCUUCAUUCCCCUCAAU